rnacentral:rRNA from 1 species
UGGGGAAUAUUGCACAAUGGGGGAAACCCUGAUGCAGCGACGCCGCGUGAGUGAAGAAGUAUUUCGGUAUGUAAAGCUCUAUCAGCAGGGAAGAAAAUGACGGUACCUGACUAAGAAGCUCCGGCUAAAUACGUGCCAGCAGCCGCGGUAAUACGUAUGGAGCAAGCGUUAUCCGGAUUUACUGGGUGUAAAGGGUGCGUAGGCGGCAGGGCAAGUCAGAUGUGAAAGCCCGGGGCUCAACCCCGGUAGUGCAUUUGAAACUGCUUUGCUGGAGUACGGGAGAGGUAAGCGGAAUUCCUAGUGUAGCGGUGAAAUGCGUAGAUAUUAGGAGGAACACCAGUGGCGAAGGCGGCUUACUGGACCGUAACUGACGCUGAGGCACGAAAGCGUGGGGAGCAAACAGG